rnacentral:rRNA from 1 species
GCGAAAACUUUACAAUGCUGGCAACAGCGAUAAGGGAACCUCGAGUGCCAGGUUACAAAUCUGGCUGUCGAGAUGCCUAAAAAGCAUUUCAUAGCAAGGGCCGGGCAAGACCGGUGCCAGCCGCCGCGGUAACACCGGCGGCUCGAGUGGUAACCGUUAUUAUUGGGUCUAAAGGGUCUGUAGCCGGCCGGAUAAGUCUCUUGAGAAAUCUGGCAGCUUAACUGUCAGGCUUUCAGGAGAUACUGUCUGGCUCGAGGCCGGGAGAGGUGAGAGGUACUUCAGGGGUAGGGGUGAAAUCUUGUAAUCCUUGAAGGACCGACAGUGGCGAGGGCGUCUCACCAGAACGGACCUGACGGCAAGGGACGAAAGCUAGGGGCACGAACC